ensembl:snRNA U7 U7 small nuclear RNA
CAAUGUUACGGCUCUUUUAGAAUUUGUCUAACAGGUUUCCCAGUUUUUACCAGAAAGCCCCA